rnacentral:rRNA from 1 species
UUGAAUACUGGUAUGAACGAUUUAACAAUUAAAUUCUAUCUUUAAUAAAAAAWUAAAAAUUAGAGUUAAAGUUAAAAUACUUUAAUAUUUAAAAAAGACGAUAAGACCCUAAAAGCUUAAUUUUUAAUGUUUUAWUAARCAAAAAAUUUUUAACUGGGGUAGUAAAUUAAUAUAUUUAUUAAWAAAAAACUUUAAGAAUUAAUAUUCCUUUUAUAAAGAUUUAARUUAGUUACUUUAGGGAUAACAGCGURAUAYUAUUGAAGAGCCCUUAUCUAUAAUAAUGAUUACGACCUCGAUGUUGAAUUAAUAAAUCUAUUUAAAGCAGUAUUUAAAAAAGAGGGUUUGUUCAACCCUUAAU